GGGGCGCCGCGCCGGGGUCCGGGGUCGCGCGCGGCCCGAGGGGAGCGAGGGCGACGACCAGGUGAGUGGUCCCGCCAGCCCCGCGUCUCGUUGGGAGUGUGCCGGGAAGCGGCCCUGACCGCUCCGAGUGCGAUUUGAAAGAAGCUAACUGAACCACUGAUAUCCAAUUUUUAAAACAAGGACCACCCUUUACAGGUAUGUAUAUCAGAAUUUCUUAUAUUGAAUUUGUAUUUAAAAGCUUUUAAUUU
rnacentral:lncRNA from 1 species